rnacentral:rRNA from 1 species
AAUCAACGCUGGCGGCGUGCCUCAGACAUGCAAGUCGAACGAUUAAACUUUCCUUCGGGAAAGAUAUAAAGUGGCGCACGGGUGAGUAACACGUAAGUAAUCUACCUUUGAGUGGGGAAUAACGUUCGGAAACGGACGCUAAUACCGCAUAAUGCAGCGGCAUCGCAAGAUGACAGUUGUUAAAGAUUUAUCGCUUGAAGAGGAGCUUGCGGCAGAUUAGCUUGUUGGUAAGGUAACGGCUUACCAAGGCUACGAUCUGUAUCCGGUCUAAGAGGACGGUCGGACACACUGACACUGAAUAACGGGUCAGACUCCUACGGGAGGCAGCAGUCGGGAAUUUUGGGCAAUGGGGGAAACCCUGACCCAGCAACGCCGCGUGAAGGAUGAAGUAUUUCGGUAUGUAAACUUCGAAAGAAUAGGAAGAAUUAAUGACGGUA